rnacentral:rRNA from 1 species
UACGAGGGGGGCGAGCGUUAUUCGGAAUUACUGGGCGUAAAGCGUGCGCAGGCGGCUUUGCAAGACAGAUGUGAAAUCCCCGGGCUUAACCUGGGAACUGCAUUUGUGACUGCAUGGCUGGAGUGCGGCAGAGGGGGAUGGAAUUCCGCGUGUAGCAGUGAAAUGCGUAGAUAUGCGGAGGAACACCGAUGGCGAAGGCAAUCCCCUGGGCCUGCACUGACGCUCAUGCACGAAAGCGUGGGGAGCAAACAGG